UGCAGUCGAGCGGACAGAUGGGAGCUUGCUCCCUGAUGUUAGCGGCGGACGGGUGAGUAACACGUGGGUAACCUGCCUGUAAGACUGGGAUAACUCCGGGAAACCGGGGCUAAUACCGGAUGCUUGUUUGAACCGCAUGGUUCAAACAUAAAAGGUGGCUUCGGCUACCACUUACAGAUGGACCCGCGGCGCAUUAGCUAGUUGGUGAGGUAAUGGCUCACCAAGGCGACGAUGCGUAGCCGACCUGAGAGGGUGAUCGGCCACACUGGGACUGAGACACGGCCCAGACUCCUACGGGAGGCAGCAGUAGGGAAUCUUCCGCAAUGGACGAAAGUCUGACGGAGCAACGCCGCGUGAGUGAUGAAGGUUUUCGGAUCGUAAAGCUCUGUUGUUAGGGAAGAACAAGUACCGUUCGAAUAGGGCGGUACCUUGACGGUACCUAACCAGAAAGCCACGGCUAACUACGUGCCAGCAGCCGCGGUAAUACGUAGGUGGCAAGCGUUGUCCGGAAUUAUUGGGCGUAAAGGGCUCGCAGGCGGUUCCUUAAGUCUGAUGUGAAAGCCCCCGGCUCAACCGGGGAGGGUCAUUGGAAACUGGGGAGUUGAGUGCAGAAGAAGAGAAUGGAAUUCCACGUGUAGCGGUGAAAUGCGUAAAGAUGUGGAGGAACACCAGUGGCGAAGGCGACUCUCUGGUCUGUAACUGACGCUGAGGAGCGAAAGCGUGGGGAGCGAACAGGAUUAGAUACCCUGGUAGUCCACGCCGUAAACGAUGAGUGCUAAGUGUUAGGGGGUUUCCGCCCCUUAGUGCUGCAGCUAACGCAUUAAGCACUCCGCCUGGGGAGUACGGUCGCAAGACUGAAACUCAAAGGAAUUGACGGGGGCCCGCACAAGCGGUGGAGCAUGUGGUUUAA
rnacentral:rRNA from 1 species